rnacentral:rRNA from 1 species
GAUGAACGCUAGCGGCAGGCUUAAUACAUGCAAGUCGAGGGGCAGCAUGACUGUAGCAAUACAGUUGAUGGCGACUGGCAAACGGGUGCGGAACACGUACAGAACCUUCCUUCGAGCGGGGAAUAGCCCAGAGAAAUUUGGAUUAAUACCCCUUAGCAUAACGGAGAGGCAUCUCUUUGUUAUUAAAGAUUUAUCACUUGAAGAUGGCUGUGCGGCUGAUUAGAUAGUUGGCGGGGUAACGGCCCACCAGUCUACGAUCAGUAACUGGUGUGAGAGCACGACCAGUCACACGGGCACUGAGACACGGGCCCGACUCCUACGGGAGGCAGCAGUAAGGAAUAUUGGUCAAUGGACGAAAGUCUGAACCAGCCAUGCCGCGUGGAGGAUGAAGGCCCUCUGGGUUGUAAACUUCUUUUAUAUGGGACGAAAAAGGGCCUUUCUAGGUCAACUGACGGUACCAUUUGAAUAAGCACCGGCUAACUCCGUGCCAGCCGCCGCUGUAAGAC